GACAUACCUAAAACGUUGCUUCGGCGGGAACAGACGGCCCUGUAACAACGGGCCGCCCCCGCCAGAGGACCCCUAACUCUGUUUUUAUAAUGUUUUUCUGAGUAAACAAGCAAAUAAAUUAAAACUUUCAACAACGGAUCUCUUGGCUCUGGCAUCGAUGAAGAACGCAGCGAAAUGCGAUAAGUAAUGUGAAUUGCAGAAUUCAGUGAAUCAUCGAAUCUUUGAACGCACAUUGCGCCCGCCAGUAUUCUGGCGGGCAUGCCUGUUCGAGCGUCAUUACAACCCUCAGGCCCCCGGGCCUGGCGUUGGGGAUCGGCGGAAGCCCCCUGUGGGCACACGCCGUCCCUCAAAUACAGUGGCGGUCCCGCCGCAGCUUCCAUUGCGUAGUAGCUAACACCUCGCAACUGGAGAGCGGCGCGGCCAUGCCGUAAAACACCCAACUUCUGAAUGUUGACCUCGAAUCAGGUAGGAAUACCCGCUGAACUUAAGCAUAUCAA
rnacentral:rRNA from 1 species